rnacentral:rRNA from 1 species
UGGGGAAUUGUUCGCAAUGGGCGCAAGCCUGACGACGCAACGCCGCGUGGAGGAUGAAGGUCUUCGGAUUGUAAACUCCUGUUGAUCGGGAAGAACGGGCUCCGGAUGAAUACUCCGGAGCAGUGACGGUACCGAUUGAGGAAGCCACGGCUAACUCUGUGCCAGCAGCCGCGGUAAUACAGAGGUGGCAAGCGUUGUUCGGAAUUACUGGGCGUAAAGGGCGCGUAGGCGGCCUUGUCAGUCAGACGUGAAAUCCCCAGGCUUAACCUGGGAACUGCGUCUGAUACUACAAGGCUGGAGUUCGGGAGAGGAAUGUGGAAUUCCAGGUGUAGCGGUGAAAUGCGUAGAUAUCUGGAGGAACACCGGUGGCGAAGGCGGCAUUCUGGACCGAAACUGACGCUGAGGCGCGAAAGCCAGGGGAGCAAA